GAAAUGCGAUAAUUAAUGUGAAUUGCAGAAUUCAGUGAAUCAUCGAGUCUUUGAACGCACAUUGCGCCCCCUGGUAUUCCGGGGGGCAUGCCUGUCCGAGCGUCAUUGCUGCCCUCAAGCACGGCUUGUGUUGGGGACCUGCGGCUGCCCGCAGGCCCUGAAAAACAGUGGCGGGCUCGCUGUCACACCGAGCGUAGUAGCAUACAUUCUCGCUCAGGGCGUGCUGCGGGUUCCGGCCGUUAAACGACCUUCAUAACCCAAGGUUGACCUCGGAUCAGGUAGGAAGACCCGCUGAACUUAAGC
rnacentral:misc_RNA from 1 species